UACGGGGGGGGCAAGCGUUGUUCGGAAUUAUUGGGCGUAAAGAGCUCGUAGGCGGUUCGGCAAGUCGGAUGUGAAAUCUCCACGCUUAACGUGGAGGGGCCAUUCGAAACUGCCGUGACUCGAGUCCGGUAGGGGAGUGUGGAAUUCCCGGUGUAGCGGUGAAAUGCGUAGAUAUCAAGAGGAACACCUGAGGUGAAGACGGGUUGCUGGGCUGACACUGACGCUGAGGCGCGAAAGCUAGGGUAGCAAACGGG
rnacentral:rRNA from 1 species